rnacentral:rRNA from 1 species
AUUGAACGCUGGCGGCAGGCCUAACACAUGCAAGUCGAGCGGCAGCGGGACCUUCGGGUUGCCGGCGAGCGGCGGACGGGUGAGUAAUGCCUAGGAAUCUGCCUGUUAGUGGGGGAUAACGCGGGGAAACUCGCGCUAAUACCGCAUACGUCCUACGGGAGAAAGCGGGGGCUCUUCGGACCUCGCGCUAACAGAUGAGCCUAGGUCGGAUUAGCUAGUUGGUGGGGUAAUGGCCCACCAAGGCGACGAUCCGUAACUGGUCUGAGAGGAUGAUCAGUCACGCUGGAACUGGGACACGGUCCAGACUCCUACGGGAGGCAGCAGUGGGGAAUAUUGGACAAUGGGCGAAAGCCUGACCCAGCCAUGCCGCGUGUGUGAAGAAGGUCUUCGGAUUGUAAAGCACUUUAAGUCGGGAGGAAGGGCUGUAGGCUAAUACCUUGCAGUUUUGACGUUACCGACAGAAUAAGCACCGGCUAACUUCGUGCCAGCCGCCGCCGUAA